rnacentral:sRNA from 1 species
GGCUAGGCGGGUGUCCCCUUCCUCCCUCACCGCUCCAUGUGCGUCCCUCCCGAAGCUGCGCGCUCGGUCGAAGAGGACGACCUUCCCCGAUAGAGGAGGACCGGUCUUCGGUCAAGGGUAUACGAGUAGCUGCGCUCCCCUGCUAGAACCUCCAAACAAGCUCUCAAGGUCCAUUUGUAGGAGAACGUAGGGUAGUCAAGCUUCCAAGACUCCAGACACAUCCAAAUGAGGCGCUGCACGUGGCAGUCUGCCUUUCUUU